GCUGUUUUGGUCAAUAAAAAUCGAUGGUUUGUCAUCGGGCGUCACCAGACCUUCACGACUUGAACCGCUUCACACGCGAUAGGUCACAAGUUCAAAUCUUGUAGACGGCACCA
rnacentral:tRNA from 1 species